rnacentral:rRNA from 1 species
AGAGUUUGAUCCUGGCUCAGGACGAACGCUGGCGGCGUGCCUAAUGCAUGCAAGUCGCACGCACUGCCUUCGGGCAGUGAGUGGCGCACGGCUGAGGAACACGUGGAUACCUGCCCGAGCGUGGGGGAUAACGGAGCGAAAGCCGCGCUAAUCCCGCAUACGUUCCCAUCGUUACGGUGGGAAGAAAACCUUACGGUGCGGUCGGAGGGGUCUGCGGCCCAUCAGGUAGUCGGCGGGGUAACGGCCCACCGAGCCGAUGACGGGUAGCUGGUCUGUGAGGACAGACAGCCAGACUGGGACUGAGACACGGCCCAGACUCCUACGGGAGGCAGCAGCAAGGAAUUUUCGGCAAUGGGGGCAACCCUGACCGAGCAACGCCGCGUGGAGGAUGACGGCCUUCGGGUUGUAAACUCCUUUUGCGGGGGAAGAGACUGACUGUACCCCGCGAAUCAGGCUCGGCUAACUCUGUGCCAGCAGCCGCGGUAAUAC